rnacentral:rRNA from 1 species
AUGGUGCCUCUGUUCAGACUGCUGAUGGACCGUCAGAGCAAGAGGGUCAUUGGAACUGGCCAUCGCCGUAGAGGAUCCACAUCCCUCUACAUCCUUGACACCUUACACCUUCCUUCAGCUUCCACCACAUCCGCGUUCCGGAUGGUUGCAUCAACAUCGAGAUCCACUUCGUCGUUUUCUUUUGCCCAGUGGCACCAUCGCUUAGGUCACUUGUGUGGUUCUCAUUUAUCUACCCUUGUUCGGCAAGGUGUUUUGGGUCAUGUUUCCAUGAUGCUGGUUUUCACUGUAAGGGUUGUAAGCUAG